rnacentral:rRNA from 1 species
CCUACGGGGCGCAGCAGUGGGGAAUAUUGGGCAAUGGGCGCAAGCCUGACCCAGCAACGCCGCGUGAAGGAAGAAGGCUUUCGGGUUGUAAACUUCUUUUCUGAGGGACGAAGACAGUGACGGUACCUCAGGAAUAAGCCACGGCUAACUACGUGCCAGCAGCCGCGGUAAUACGUAGGAUCCGAGCGUUAUCCGGAUUUACUGGGUGUAAAGGGAGCGUAGACGGCAGUGCAAGUCCGGAGUGAAAGCCCGGGGCUCAACCCUGGGACUGCUCUGGAAACUGUAAAGCUGGAGUGCGGGAGGGGCAGGCGGAAUUCCUGGUGUAGCGGUGAAAUGCGUAGAUAUCAGGAGGAACACCGGCGGCGAAGGCGGCCUGCUGGACCGUAACUGACGUUGAGGCUCGAAAGCGUGGGGAGCAAACAGGAUUAGAUACCCUGGUAGUC